rnacentral:rRNA from 1 species
UGCGUAGGUGGCCGGGUAAGUCUGACGUGAAAUCUCCGAGCCUAACUCGGAAACUGCAUCGGAUACUAUCCGGCUUGAGGAUUGGAGGGGGGACUGGAAUACUUGGUGUAGCAGUGAAAUGCGUAGAUAUCAAGUGGAACACCAGUGGCGAAGGCGAGUCCCUGGACAAUUCCUGACACUGAGGCACGAAAGCUGGGAGCAAACA